GGGUGAUGAUGUAGCUGACCUAUCAUGGAGGAGCAGGAUGAUGAUGUAGCUGACCUAUCAGGGAGGAGCAGGAGUCAUGAUGUAGCUGACCUAUCAUGGAGGAGCAGGGGUGAUGAUGUAGCUGACCUAUCAGGGAAGAGCAGGAGUGAUGAUGUAGCUGACCAAUCAUGGAGGAGCAGGAUGAUGAUGAAGCUGACCUAUCAUGGAUGAGCAGGAUGAUGAUGUAGCUGACCUGUCAUGGAGGAGCAGGAUGAUGUUGUAGCUAAUCUAUCAUGGAGUAGCAGGAUGAUGAUGUAGCUGACCUAUAAAGGAGGAGCAGGGUGAUGAUGUAGCUGACCUAUCAUGGAGGAGCAGGAGUGAUGAUGUAGCUGACCUAUCAUGGAGGACGAGAAUGAAGUAGCUGACCAAUCAUGGAGGAGCAGGGGUGAUGAUGUUGCUGACCUAUCAUGGACGAGCAGGGGUGAUGAUGUAGCUGACCUAUCAUGGAGGAGCAGAAUGAUGUAGCUGACCUAUCAUGGAGGAGAGGGGUGAUGAUGUAGCUGACCUAUCAUGGAGGAGCAGGAUAAUGAUGUAGCUGACCUAUCAUGGAGGAGCAGGGGUGAUGAUGUAGCUGACCUAUCAUGGAGGAGCAGGGGAGAUGAUGUAGCUGACCUAUCAUGGAGGAGCAGGAUGAUGAUGUAGCUGACCUAUCGUGGAGGAGCAGGAUGAUGAUGUAGCUGACCUAUCAUGGAGGAGCAGGGGUGAAAAUGUAGCUGACCUAUCAUGGAGGAGCAGGGGUGGUGAUGUAGCUGACCUAUCAUGGAGGAGCAGGAUGAUGAUGUAGCUGACCUAUCAUGGAGGAGCAGGGUGAUGAUGUAGCUGACCUAUCAUGGAGGAGAAGGAUGAUGAUGUAGCUGACCUAUCAUGGAGGAGCAGGAUGAUGAUGUAACUGACCUAUCAUGGAGGAGCAGGGGUGAUGAUGUAGCUGACCUAUCAUGGAGGAGCAGGAUGAUGAUGUAGCUGACCUAUCAUGGAGGAGCAGGAUGAUGAUGUAGCUGACCUAUCAUGGAGGAG
rnacentral:lncRNA from 1 species